rnacentral:rRNA from 1 species
GAUGAACGCUGGCGGCGUGCUUAACACAUGCAAGUCGAACGGAAAGGCCAGUGCUUGCACUGGUACUCGAGUGGCGAACGGGUGAGUAACACGUGGGUGAUCCGCCCUGCACUUCGGGAUAAGCCUGGGAAACUGGGUCUAAUACCGGAUAGGACAAUGGUUUGGAUGCCGUUGUGGAAAGUUUUUUCGGUGUGGGAUGAGGUCGCGGACUAUCAGCUUUUUGGUGGGGUAAUGGCCUACCAAGGCGUCGACGGGUAGCCGGCCUGAGAGGGUGUAGGGCCACAUUGGAACCGUGAUACAGGCCAGACUCCUACAGGAGGCAGCAGUGGGGAAUAUUGCACAAUGGGAGCAAGCCUGAGGCAGCGACGCCGCGGGGGGGAUGAAGGCUUUCGGGUUGUAAAAACCUUUGGCUAGGGAAGAAGCGUAUUUGUGACGGUACCUGGAGAAGAAGCACCGGCUAACUACGUG